rnacentral:rRNA from 1 species
UACAUGCAAGUCAAGGAGAACAUUAUCUUCGGAUAAUAAGUAAACUGGCGAACGGGUGAGUAACGCGUAAACAACUUGCCUCAGAGAUUGGGACAACAUUGGGAAACCAGUGCUAAUACCAAAUAAUGCAGCGGGCUCUUCGGAGCACAGUUGUUAAAGUAGGCUUCGGCUUACACUUUGAGAUAGGUUUGCGUCCGAUUAGUUAGUUGGUAGGGUAAAAGCCUACCAAGACCAAGAUCGGUAGCUGGUCUGAGAGGAUGAUCAGCCACACUGGAAUUGAGAUACGGUCCAGACUCCUACGGGAGGCAGCAGUAAGGAAUUUUGCACAAUGGGCGAAAGCCUGAUGCAGCAACGCCGCGUGAACGAUGAAGUUUUUAGGAAUGUAAAGUUCUGUCGUAUGGGAAGAGAUCUUUCGAAUGUUAAUACCAUUCGUUAAUGACGGUACCAUACAAGAAAGCACCGGCUAACUUCGUGCCAGCAGCCGCGGUAAUACGAGGGGUGCUAGCGUUGUCCGGAUUUACUGGGCGUAAAGGGUACGUAGGCGUUUUAAUAAGUUGUAUGUUAAAUAUCUUAGCUUAACUAAGAAGAUGCAUCCAAAACUGUUAAAAUAGAGUUUGAGAGAGGAACGCAGAAUUCAUGGUGGAGUGGCGACAUGCGUAGAUAUCAUGAGGAAAGUCAAAUGCGAAGGCAGCCUUCUGGCUCAGAACUGACGCUGAGGUACGAAAGCGUGGGGAGCGAACAGGAUUAGAUACCCUGGUAGUCCACGCCGUAAACGAUGAGUAUUUGGUGCUGGGGGAUUCGACCCUUUCAGUGCCGUAGCUAACGCGAUAAAUACUCCGCCUGGGGACUACGAUCGCAAGAUUGAAACUCAAAGGAAUUGACGGGGACCCGCACAAGCGGUGAACAUGUGGUUUAAUUCGAUGAUACGCGAAGAACCUUACUGGGUUUGACAUGUAGUGAAAGUUUUCUGAAAAGAAAUCCUUUAGAGGCUUGCUUUAAACACUAUCACAGGUGGUGCAUGCUGUCGUCAGCUCGUGUCGUGAGAUGUAGUCAGUCUGCACGAGCGCAACCCCUAUUUAGUGGCAGCCAUAUGGUGGGAACUCUAGAUAGACUGCCGAAUACUGGGAGGAGGUGGGGAUGAUGUCCAG